rnacentral:miRNA from 1 species
AUAUAUAUGUAUAUAUGUAUGUGUGUGUGUGUGUGUGUGUGUGUGUAUAAUACACAUAUACAUACAUACAUACAAUGGUUGUA